ncrna:Streptomyces sp. NRRL S-378 L17-Actino-Proteobacteria ribosomal protein leader
CCCUCUCGCGACCGCCUGAGGGAACUGACUCCGGUACCUGACACGGCCGGUGCAG